rnacentral:rRNA from 1 species
UACGUAGGGGGCUAGCGUUGUCCGGAAUCAUUGGGCGUAAAGCGCGUGUAGGCGGUCCGGUAAGUCCGCUGUGAAAGUCGAGGGCUCAACCCUCGAAUGCCGGUGGAUACUGUCGGGCUAGAGUACGGAAGAGGCGAGUGGAAUUCCUGGUGUAGCGGUGAAAUGCGCAGAUAUCAGGAAGAACACCCGUGGCGAAGGCGGCUCUCUGGGACGGUACUGACGCUGAGACGCGAAAGCGUGGGGAGCGAACAGG